CUGUUUGAACUUGAUUUUUGUCUAUGAAUUUAAUGUAAAUUUAUAGUAGAGAUGUCAAUCUAUGUUUUGUGAUGUAAAAUAUUAAUAUUGAUCAUGUAUUCUGUGCGCCAGGGUCCUGUGUGAAAAGUCCUGAUUUGACCUCUACCCCUGACCCGGAUGUAUAUAAUCCACGUUGGUGACACAUUUUGACAGCUAACUCCAGAAAAUGCUGAACAUGCUAUGUUGAAACUUUUAUAUUUUGCUUCUCACAUGUUGGUCUUGGCCAGGUGAGUUGGAAAAUUGGAUAUGAGAUUUUGGGAAUUUACUAUGAAUUUUAAUGUUACAAUGAAACAUAUAGCGAAGCUAAUUGUGGUCUCGGUCCUAACCUAGAACAAAAUCACGUUAUAUAUACAGUAUAUAUAUUGGCGACAUUUAAUUUCCCCACUCACGGAAUACAAUCGACAAACUGGGAACAGAAUAUCAAAUUUCGUCUAGCUUUUGGCGACUUAUGAUACCCCUUUCACCGGCAAACACUGAAUUAUCGGACAACAUGAAAUCAGGGACUAAAUUCACCAGCAUUCAUGAUCCUCGGACCACCCGCCCCCUACGCACAGCCGAUUUAUAAAUGUUGCAUCUUUCAAUCAGUGUCAAUCCCAAGAAGAACCCUGAUCAGCUCCUGGAAAAAUCAGUGUUCUUGCAGUAUUGUCAGUCAAAUCUCAAGGAAAGGAUCCCAGAAGAGGAACAUUUACAUUAUUUCAGACUUUUUUCUUUCCUGUGUAACAAUGCCUCAAACAGCUAACACAUUUUAUAUAGUAUACAAUACAAUGUGUAUUAAUAACAGUCCAGUUAGAGUGCUGUGUUAUGCAGUAAAAAUACUUAAUUCUU